AUUGGACCGUGAGUCCUGGGUCAGAGAGAAAGUGCUCUUUCUCCUGCACCCAGAGAGGUGGUUAGGGACUCGAGGGGACCCUGCACGGGAAGAGGUGGCCGGUGCAGAGGACCUUCCUCAUGCGGGUGGAGAGGACCACGGCGAGGAGCCCAACUACCCUUCUGUCUUUCAACGACAAAAGCGAAUUUCUGGCAGGCGUGUAGCCCCGCCGCGGGACGCAGCAGACCCACCCAAAUACGUGCUUGUGCGGGUGGAGGAUUAUCAGGACCUAGAAACAGAAGUGAAGUUUGAAGUCUGCUCUCUGCAAAGAGGGUGGGAGUGGGUGGAGAAGAGGCUUGUUUUAAAAGCCAAAAACAGAAAGUAAAAAGAAAUGGGAAAGUAAAACCAAAGCAGCAAGUGACUCUCUUCUGAUGUGCACUUUUCAUUUUUCUCCCCCACAUUU
rnacentral:lncRNA from 10 species